UACGUAGGGAGCAAGCGUUGUCCGGAAUCAUUGGGCGUAAAGCGCGCGUAGGUGGCCUCAUAAGUCCGCUGUGAAAGUCAAAGGCUCAACCUUUGAAAGCCGGUGGAUACUGUGAGGCUAGAGUACGGAAGAGGCGAGUGGAAUCCUGGUGUAGCGGUGGAAUGCGCAGAUAUCAGGAGGAACACCAAUAGCGAAGGCAGCUCGCUGGGACGUUACUGACACUGAGGCGCGAAAGCGUGGGGAGCGAACAGG
rnacentral:rRNA from 1 species